GUAGUUAGCCGGGGCUUUCUUACAGGGUACCGUCACUUCUUCGUCCCCUGCGACAGAGGUUUACAAUCCGAAAACCUUCUUCCCUCACGCGGCGUUGCUGGGUCAGGCUUGCGCCCAUUGCCCAAUAUUCCCCACUGCUGCCUCCCGUAGGAGUCUGGACCGUGUCUCAGUUCCAGUGUGGCCGAUCAGCCUCUCAGCUCGGCUACCCAUCGUCGGCUUGGUGGGCUGUUAUCUCACCAACUACCUAAUGGGACGCGAACCCCUCUAAAAGCGAUAAAUCUUUGACCUCUUCCCGAUGCCGGGUUGUGGUCUUAUGCGGUAUUAGCAGUUGUUUCCACCUGUUAUUCCCCACUCUUAGGCAGGUUGUUCACGCGUUACUCACCCGUGCGCCACUAGAAUUAUCAAUUCCAUCCGAAAACUUCCUUAAAUAAUCCCCGUUCGACUUGCAUGUGUUAGGCACGCCGCCAGCGUUCGUCCUGAGCCAGAAUCGAAACCUCUAGA
rnacentral:rRNA from 1 species